rnacentral:rRNA from 1 species
AGAGUUUGAUCAUGGCUCAGGACGAACGCUGGCGGCACGCUUAACACAUGCAAGUCGAACGAGAGAAGAGGAGCUUGCUUUUCUGAUCUAGUGGCGGACGGGUGAGUAACACGUGAGCAAUCUGCCUUUCAGAGGGGGAUACCGAUUGGAAACGAUCGUUAAUACCGCAUAACAUAAUUGAACCGCAUGAUUUGAUUAUCAAAGAUUUAUCGCUGAAAGAUGAGCUCGCGUCUGAUUAGCUAGUUGGUAAGGUAACGGCUUACCAAGGCGACGAUCAGUAGCCGGACUGAGAGGUUGAUCGGCCACAUUGGGACUGAGACACGGCCCAGACUCCUACGGGAGGCAGCAGUGGGGAAUAUUGCACAAUGGAGGAAACUCUGAUGCAGCGAUGCCGCGUGAGGGAAGAAGGUUUUAGGAUUGUAAACCUCUGUCUCCAGGGACGAAAAAAGACGGUACCUGAGGAGGAAGCUCCGGCUAACUACGUGCCAGCAGCCGCGGUAAUACGUAGGGAGCGAGCGUUGUCCGGAAUUACUGGGUGUAAAGGGAGCGUAGGCGGGAUCGCAAGUCAGAUGUGAAAACUAUGGGCUUAACCCAUAAACUGCAUUUGAAACUGUGGUUCUUGAGUGAAGUAGAGGUAAGCGGAAUUCCUAGUGUAGCGGUGAAAUGCGUAGAUAUUAGGAGGAACAUCAGUGGCGAAGGCGGCUUACUGGGCUUUAACUGACGCUGAGGCUCGAAAGCGUGGGGAGCAAACAGGAUUAGAUACCCUGGUAGUCCACGCCGUAAACGAUGAUUACUAGGUGUGGGGGGACUGACCCCUUCCGUGCCGCAGCAAACGCAAUAAGUAAUCCACCUGGGGAGUACGACCGCAAGGUUGAAACUCAAAGGAAUUGACGGGGGCCCGCACAAGCGGUGGAGUAUGUGGAUUAAUUCGAAGCAACGCGAAGAACCUUACCAGGUCUUGACAUCGUAUGCAUAGCUCAGAGAUGAGUGAAAUCUCUUCGGAGACAUAUAGACAGGUGGUGCAUGGUUGUCGUCAGCUCGUGUCGUGAGAUGUUGGGUUAAGUCCCGCAACGAGCGCAACCCUUACUGUUAGUUGCUACGCAAGAGCACUCUAGCAGGACUGCCGUUGACAAAACGGAGGAAGGUGGGGAUGACGUCAAAUCAUCAUGCCCCUUAUGACCUGGGCCUCACACGUACUACAAUGGCUGUCAACAGAGGGAAGCAAAGCCGCGAGGUGGAGCGAACCCCUAAAAGCAGUCUUAGUUCGGAUUGUAGGCUGCAACCCGCCUACAUGAAGUCGGAAUUGCUAGUAAUCGCAGAUCAGCAUGCUGCGGUGAAUACGUUCCCGGGCCUUGUACACACCGCCCGUCACGCCAUGGGAGUCGGUAACACCCGAAGCCUGUAGUCUAACCGCAAGGAGGACGCAGUCGAAGGUGGGAUUGAUGACUGGGGUGAAGUCGUAACAAGGUA